rnacentral:lncRNA from 1 species
AAAGGAACUGCGUUGGUGACAUGAAUGGCGUUUGAAGAUGUGACUUAAGCAUUUAGAAUGAGUACAAAGCAAGAAAACAUGCGUUUUGGGAGAGGAAAGACUUAUUGAGGCUAUUCCCACGACUCGGUCUAGUCUUUUUCAGCAUGUAAAGCGUGCAAUAUACCAUGGCGGCUAUGAAUGAGUAACAAGCUUGGAAUUGGUUCCUAUGCUAACUAGUCCAGACGCUUAUGAAUGGCGAAGGAACAAAUAUGAUCCAUGGGAACCCUUU